UACGUAGGGGGCAAGCGUUGUCCGGAUUUAUUGGGCGUAAAGAGCGUGUAGGCGGCCAUACAGGUCAGCUGUGAAAACUCGAGGCUCAACCUCGAGACGUCGGUUGAAACCGUAUGGCUAGAGUCCGGAAGAGGAGAGUGGAAUUCCCGGUGUAGCGGUGAAAUGCGCAGAUAUCGGGAAGAACACCCGUGGCGAAGGCGGCUCUCUGGGACGGUACUGACGCUGAGACGCGAAAGCGUGGGGAGCGGACAGG
rnacentral:rRNA from 1 species